UGGGGAAUAUUGCACAAUGGGCGCAAGCCUGAUGCAGCCAUGCCGCGUGUGUGAAGAAGGCCUUCGGGUUGUAAAGCACUUUCAGCGAGGAGGAAGGGUAGUGUGUUAAUAGCACAUUGCAUUGACGUUACUCGCAGAAGAAGCACCGGCUAACUCCGUGCCAGCAGCCGCGGUAAUACGGAGGGUGCAAGCGUUAAUCGGAAUUACUGGGCGUAAAGCGCACGCAGGCGGUUCGUUAAGUCAGAUGUGAAAUCCCCGCGCUUAACGUGGGAACUGCAUUUGAAACUGGCAAGCUAGAGUCUUGUAGAGGGGGGUAGAAUUCCAGGUGUAGCGGUGAAAUGCGUAGAGAUCUGGAGGAAUACCGGUGGCGAAGGCGGCCCCCUGGACAAAGACCUGACGCUCAGGUGCGAAAGCG
rnacentral:rRNA from 1 species